rnacentral:lncRNA from 1 species
GUUAUCCAGAGUAUCGUAUUUAUAUUUUUACCACUGGGAGAAAGCGUGCAUCUGACUAACCAAAUCUAUUGCUACUACCCUUUAGGCUACAAAGAAUGUGAUUCGAUGUGAGCGAUGUAUAGAGAAGACUACAACCGUAGUCUUGUUCUAACCUUGGUAAGGAUGAUCUACUCUUCUAUUGGGGAGGCUCACGGAAUCUAGACACCACAAAGGAUGUUCGACCCGCACCUAUAAACCCUACCCAUCCUGCUAACGAGAUGUGGGCUGCAAAGGUAACUCGGAAAUGUCACGUUCCUCGCUACUACCACGGUCUAGCUAGUCAGGGGAUAUCUAUGAGUACCCUAGCCCAAACACCACGUUUACGCUAGCAAUGAUUACUCUAAACUCAAUCGGAAGAGAUUAAAGUAAACUCAUAAACCAAAGAAUAAUAAAACAAAGAACUUACUAGAAUUUAGAAGUCGAAAUACUGAAAAAUCCUAGGAGCAAGCCUCGGGUUAGGAGACUUCAUCCCGCAGGUACAACCUCGGAGUAGACACCGACAGGCCGGGCUUCCUCCAAUCUACACCUCCACUCUAUCUCUCUCAAUCUAGUAGAACUUAGAAGAACUAAUUCUACUCUCACAUUGGAUGCUAAGCCCUAAGUCUAUGUAGAGGAAAGGUUAUCCUUCGAGGGCACCUCUCAACUCUAUGAUGAACUUGUUCUCCUCCAGGGGCCAGGGGGUCUGCUUAUAUAGUCCCCUCAGGUGAACGUGGGCCGUCGGAUCAAACCGACAUUGUUUGAAUGGUUAUCCUUGAUCCUUUAGGUCGGUGGAGCGUAAUCCGCGAGACGAUACCUGAUUGGCCUCUCCAACAGGGCGGGCGCCCAAGGGGGGAGGGCGGGCGCCCUGCCCCCGGGCCCGUUCGCCUUCCCAUUCGUUCCCGUGGAUUCUGGAGUCUUCUAGAUGAUAGAAAAUUAUGUGGCACGUUAAUAUCUCUAUGUAAACUCAACGUGUGGGCCUUUCUUCCAUAUUUCCUGAUAACCCCCUGCAGAAAUAGACAAAUACCAAAACUCGUGGAAUUCUGUCAGUUAAAACCCUAAGUCUGGGUGUUGGUUGCAUUUGGAUCCUUUUCUUUAUUUAUUUGAUGAUUAUAUUUGGUACUUAAGGACUGUGAACAAACUCCCCCAGGCUUACUUCUUGCUCGUCCUUGAGCAAGGAUGGACUUCAAGAGUUUCUGCAGUGGUUUCAUGCCUUAAAAGUACAAAUGCGUUCAAGCAAGAUCUCAUCUCUGAGUUAGAGUAAACUGUUAAGACUUAAAACUUACUCAUUUUACCUUUCACCAUGGACCUUGCAACCGUCACUUGUGUCUUGAGUAGUUAAAAGACAACGGUCAAGUCAAGCGCCAUGUCUCUUGUUCUUUGAUUAACUAUAGCUCUGGAGUUUUUGCAGAUUUUCAAAAUAAAACUCAGAGAUUCCUUGUAUGACUCUCUCUAGUCUCUCUUUUGUGGUAUUUCUGGAUCCUUACCAAGGCAGUGAUGGUAUAUGCCUUCUCUCAAAGUAUGUGGUAUUUGUGGUACGAGGCAUAGUGACAUUGCCUUCUCUUUCAUCCUACUCUAAUAAGGUUUUGGUAUCUGGAGCUCAUAGGUGGGAGACAGAUAAUACAUACUUACAAGACAUUUAUUGCAUAGUCAAACCAUGGAUCCAGAAGAACAAGUCAAUAAGUCAAAUCAAGAUGUGCACGUGUGGCAAGUGAAUGGUGUGUGGUGAUAAAAAUGGUGAAAGUCUAAUUCUACAUUUGCUCUUUUUAGGGGAUACAUACUUUUCUUGCACUUUGAAGCUUUUUGAGGAGAAUGAGAUGCUCUAUAUUUUCUUUUUCUUUUCUCUCAGGUGGGUAUCUUAUACCCCUAAUUCUACUGUCGGACACUUGUCCAUUUUUACCUCUCGUCUCACUUUUUCUUUUCUUUUGAGGUUCCGGGCACUUGCCCCUUUUUAUUUCCUCAUAUUUUUUUCUCUUUCUCUUUUUCUUUUUUUAGAGCACUCAUCUUCUGAAAUUAUAUAGCAAGUGGUAGUAACCAAGAUAACUCAAGCAUUUAUUUCACAGGGAAAAAUACAAAUAGGAGAAUGUUUUUGGCUAUUCUCUCCCGGAUUAGGAGUAGAAUAAUUUUAGGUGAAUCUGGAGAUGGAAUUGAGUGGAUGUAUGUGGAUGCGUACUUCCGGAGUAGAAGUAGCAUGUAUGAGUGAACGUGCAAGUGGAUCUUGAUUUUAACCGCAUGACAAGCUCCUAACGGUCUACACAGUUUGACCACACUCAAUGCUCAUAAGCAGUAAAAAGUAAAUGUAUGGUUCAUAGCCUAAUAAGCAUGUAUAUAUGGCUAUGGUAGGAUUUUAAACUCUCAUCAUACAGGAACUCAUCAUGUGUUAUUUUAAAAAUUUUCAAAGAUAAAAUUCUCCAGAAUUCUAGCAACUCUAGGAAUAGAUAAACAGCAGCUCAACCUUCCCAUAUCGUAUCCGUUAACGACCUAGACUUUAGAUCAAGUACUCUUCCCACAAGUUCAGGUUUAGAGCAGGUUUAAAUUAUAACAGUUAUACCUAAACUUGAGAGAGAGCUCAAACUUGAAAACUAGGUACAUGGCAGAGGAACGAUUUAUCAUUUCCAUGUGAGAGUUUAUCAUUGAAAUUCAGUUUGGCCUAGACACUUUAUUUAUUUAUUUAGCAAACUAAGCAAAGAUAUAAGCACAAAAUUUUCAUUUGGGUUUUCAUGAUUAUGUAUCUUUUUAUUAUUUGAGUAAAGUAUAAACGCGAGUAGAAACACUUAACUGGAUAAAUAGGGGUGCUCUCCCCCAAGCUAGAUUUUGACGUAAUUUCUUCUGAUGUAGCUAGCAGGUGGUAGAGGUGUAUUUGAAUGUCGGCAGCACCCUGACAGCGAUUAGGAUGUCCUCUGUCUGCUAAUCUUCUUUGGUCCUUGAAUUCUGUGGAGCUCAAAUAGACAACAAAGCUUUGUGGAACUGGUUAAGUGUUAGCAUAAAUUCUCUUUUCCUUUAUCAUGUUGAGCUUCCUCUAAUAAAUAUUACUCUCUUUGGUAGGAUCAUAAAUUUAUUUUUAUAUUCUUAUUUUUAUAGGACAAGAAUAUAUUUAUUUUAUUUUUAUGCCACCACAGUGAAUGUACUUAUGGGUUUUAUGUCAUGAGCAUACUCACAUGGGGCUUACUAUUUUCAACAUUUUUAUUUUCUUUUCAAGAUGAUAUGAACCUGAUUAACAAAGCAAACUAUAAUUGAAUGAUUGAAAGUAAAAGGAUAACUACCAAGUUUACCUCUUGGCAAGGCGUUCGGUGUUUUUAAGUCCUCCGAACGGGACUCUCCGUUUUCUCAGUCGUCCUGGGAUUCGCUGGAUGGCGUAGUCGGUGAUUCCGGUGCCUCCUCUUCGUGUAUAACUAUCUUCUCUUUCUGAUUCGGUACUGCGGUCUCCUCAGGACAGUUCUGUUUAAGCUGUAUGUCUUUGGACCUUACCACUUCUCCUUCGUAGUCUGCCCAUCCGUUCUUGAUGAUUUGCCUCCUCUAGUUGUUGUUGCGUCAUCUUCUUCUUGUCCUGACCUUCUUAGAGUCUUCACCUAUAUAGUUAGGGUCAGUAAAAUAGCGGCGUACCUUCUCAGAGGGGAAGUGCAUGUGGACUUCUCCGGUUCCAAUGUAGAUGACAGUGCUGAGGAACGGUCUCUCAAGGAUGAUGGGUGGAUCAUACUUGUCUUCUCCCAUGUCAAUAACCUUCAACCUUUCGGAAUGUCUCUGCUAUCUGGAGCUGGGUCAUCCUUUUUGGUCAAAAACGGUGACUUAAGUCGACGAUCUUGACCUCCUUGAACUGCAGUGACCAUCUUAGCUGACUCGGUCCACAUUUGCUUGUUCUUGUUCCUCCUGUUGGUUCUCUUCCUUGGUUCAUGUCGGGAUUGCUCUGAAAUUUAUGUAGUCUUGUUCUUGAAGGAAAAUGUCUCCUUCUUCCCCUUGUUGUAGAGACUAAUCUUGGUAGCACUGGGGCGUACAAGGUACUAACUCGGACGCAGAGGUUCUUCAACAUUCCUUUUGGGAAACUUAGUGUCCGAUCUGCAAGCCUUGAUUUUGUUGAGGACGGUUGUAGUAGUAGUUGUUGUUGAUGAUGAUGAUGUUGUUUACGUCCUCAAGCAUCUCAGGGCAGUGAUUGCCUGCGUGUCUAGUAUCUCCAGUGUGUUUGUGCUCGUAGAUCCAAGCCCUUCACUUGGUGGAGUCUGGGAGUUGUAAAACUCCUUCAGGUUUUGCUCGAAGUGUACCUACCCAUAGAGACAAGGCAGAGAUCAAGUGCAUGGGCCCUGUUGGUGAAAAACACCAACAGAACCAAAAGUGUAUUUGUUCUUCUCUAACCUUAAACAUAGUGAGCAAGACAAAGUUGAUGGAUAAUAAGAUCAUGAGUGUAGCAUUUAAAACAUUUGUCAGAUCAGAUUGCUUGACCUAAUGAAAGAUAAUCUAUCUAUAUUUAUGUUUUGUUUAUAUCUUCUAAAGAUUGAAUGUGCAACAUUUUAGCUUAUAUGAUUAGGGGUGUGGGAUCACGAAGGUAGUACUAUAAACAAAGAUUAAAGGACUAAACAUGUUGAAUUAAUUGGGUUGGUUAAUUUGAAGUUACAAAUCAUACAUGUUUGUCUCUUUAUUUUAUGUGAAUGCCAGAACCAAGGAGAAGCUUAUAAAAGCGAUAGUCAAGUACCUUAAGAUGUUACCUUACUUAAAGAGUGAUGGUACAGUAUCACCUUGUGGAAGCUUUCCUUUCUUAGCGGUUAUGCAUCGUGUUUGUGGCACUCUUUGUGUCAUUCCAUGGAUCAUCUCUCUAUGAUGAAUGUGCUAUGUCCUUCCUUGUGCAAAUCGUUAAACUUCAUGUGUCUCCUUUAUCUCCAAUGUGAGUUUGUAUCUCAGGACUUCCCACGUUGAUAUUGAAAUGCAGGGUUAGUCCGACAAAAUAUACCAAUGCCUACCCAAGCAGUUUUUAGUUCAGUAACCAAACUAGACUCCAUGUCUAAUCAGAUUAAGGAAGGCUAUUUAACCUAAGCACCACGCUUAAUUUAAAUGCCAAUGGAAGUAUGUCCAGUACUUCCAAACCAACACUUACUAGGAUAAACAAAGGUAGCAUGAUGGCUUUUAUAGAGAUCUACUCAAGUGGAUAUGAAGUAGUGUGACUAGUAUUUAACAAAUCAAGCAUGUCUCAAAGGUAGGGACAACCAACAUAGGAACUUGACAAAGGAUGUUUUCAUGUGAAGUACUCCCCCAAGCUUGAAUUUUGCAAAAUUCAAGAUUGGAUGAAUUUAAUUCAAUGUUGCAUGAUGAUUGGUUGGACAUACCUUGUGCUUGUCAUUCAUCCGAUCUUUUUGCUCCAAUCCUGGAAAGGUUAGUGACAAGAAUACCCGAAGGAAUAUUUCUACAAUUAUCUUUAUAUGCUCAACACACAAGGUAAUGUUACAAGUAAUUAGAAGUUCAUGUUAUGAUCUGAUAAGUGCUUGUUUUAGGAUACUAAGCUUGUCCUUGGGAAACCAUCAAUUUAUGCCAGCGAAGUGGUUUCCCCUCCAACGCUGACCUAUAUCAAGAUCAACUCAACAAGAUCUGCAAUAUUUAUUAUAGACAUAUGCAUCGAUGACUGCCCUUUUAAAGUUUUUAUAAAUAGAAAGGAAGAGGGGGUUGGAGAUCUCCAAUGUGGUGAUGUUGGAGAGACCAAUAGAUUGGGAAGAUGUUGCAUAUGAGCAUGGAGUAAACGAAGUGGCUAUGAAAUAAAUUCCAUGCUCAUUAAUGUUAUCUUCGUCUCCAAUUUGAAUGUUCGUAGUUUCUCCUAGAUUGGUCUCACCUAUGUCCUCUUCUGUAGUUGGAUGAAUCUCAUCUUCAAAGGGAGUCGAGAACAUGGAUUUUUAAUGCCCUCUAGCCAUUGAUGUUGCUCUUCUCGAUCCUCCUUGUGGUCUUGGUGACUCUUAUGCAUGGGAUGUCUAGAGAGAUUCAUAGGAUCAUCCGGAGGUUCAAGAGAAAGAGCAUAGUAGAAAUUAUUAGGCUCAAGGAUGGGUUUAAAGAUAGGUUCGAAUGAGUCAUCAAAAGUGGCCAUAGAAGGGGAGAAGAUGAGAUUGUCUUCUAAAUGGCUUCACUCUCUUUCUAUUGCAUCACUUAAGAUGCCAUCCUUGAGUCUUUCUAGAUGUCCAUCAAAGGGAUUGGAUUUGAGAUGCUUUCUAAGAGAUCCCUUCUUAGGAAGGUUCACACUAUAUGCACUCAAAGGUCUCUUAUGAAGCAGGAAGUUUAAGCUCAUCCCAAAAUGAAUUUCCAAAGGUAGAAUUUCUUCUUCCCUUAGAUGAUUUUGGAGCACUACUAGUUUGGGUUGGAUAGCCGAAUCAUGGGAUUGAAAUGUUUGGAAAUCGGCUAUUGAAACUUCCUUUCCUCGUCUGGGAGAUGAUUCCUUCUCUAUCUCUAGGAUUUUUUUAUGAAGACUAGUGCAAGAAGGAUGUCCACGAAUGAAGACAUACCUUCCUUUACUAAUAGAUAAAGAAAGAAAGACUCUACCAAAGGUUAUAUGAUUAAGACCAAUGUGAAAAUAUCGAGAAAAAACAUGGUCUUGUAGGGCUAGGUUUAAACCAAAAUUUAUAGAAAGAUUAAAAGAUUCCCUAGGUGUAGCUAAAAGUUCAUUAUCUUCUUGAUUAAAAGAUAGGACCUCAGCUAUAGAAAAGUGUUGGUUUUGACCUAUUGCAAUCAACUUCGGACACAGAUCAUAAUUAGGGGCAAAGAAAGGACUUGUUGACUCCCAUAGUCUAUGGCUGGUCUCCGAAGGUGCAAAAAAUUCAAUAAUAGGUGUGGAAUUUGAGUUAUCCAUAAAGAUAGAAAAAAUAAAAAGAUAAAAGAAUAAAAGUAUAAAAGUAUAAUACAAGAUAAUAGCAAGACUUAAAGUUAUCUCAGCAAACCAUCUUCCUCCCCAGCAACGGCGCCAGAAAUGCUUGUUGAUAUGUGUUAACGCCAUCAGGAAAUGAUCCGCAAGCGCACGGAUAUCGGUGAGCACUUCACCCGGGAGGUUAUCCAGAGUAUCGUAUUUAUAUUUUUACCACUAGGAGAAAGCGUGCAUCUGACUAACCAAAUCUAUUGCUACUACCCUUUAGGCUACAAAGAAUGUGAUUCGAUGUGAGCGAUGUAUAGAGAAGACUACAACCGUAGUCUCAUUCUAACCUUGGUAAGGAUGAUCUACUGUUCUAUUGGGGAGGCUCACGGAAUCUAGACACCACAAAGGAUGUUCGACCCGCACCUAUAAACCCUACCCAUCCUGCUAACGAGAUGUGGGCUGCAA